rnacentral:tmRNA from 1 species
GGGGAUGACUGGAUUCGACGUUGGUUACAAACCCUGAGGUGCAUGUCGAGAAUGUAAGGUUUCUCGUAAAUCCCACCUUGCAAAAGUUAUAGUCGCAAACGACGAAAACUACGCACUAGCGGCUUAAAUCCCGCUUACACUGAUCACCGGAUGCCUGUAAACGGUUGUGAAGUGGCUCGCAGAACAGGAUCGUGUGGACUCCUCGCUCGUGGAGAAAACCCUAAAACUAAUCGAGAUCGCCUUAUGCUCCC